CCAACAACUCUAGCAAACCUGCUCGCCAGGAUAUUGGUCCCUUUCCAGUUCCGGUGCAGCCUGUCCUUUUUGUACAGGUCAGACCUUCCCCAGAAGAGUACAUAGUAUUCCUCUUCAAGCAUAAUCAAACAUUUCCUUAUGCAAAUGAUGCUCUAUAAGCUACUAAUUAAGUUGAAACGUGGCCAGAUUCCAAGAGCUAGAGGACUUUGAAGAACUUUUCAAUAGCCCUGCAAAGUUCAGCAAGCUGAAGUAACAAAUGGAAAGCGUCUGGAAGAAAAUUUUUCAGCUUGGCCUCGAUCCAAGCUCCACGUUUGACAGGAACUUAGAUUUAUCUUUCACUGUUCGCACUCUACUAGGCCUUACAAAUUAAUGAGGUGCUCUGCAGUUAUAGACAUUAUUGCCACAUUACAACUGACUCAGGAAAAUGCUACACAGCAGGAUCCCUCGGGGCAACAGGAUAAUCAACUUAAAUUAUUCUAUUUCGUGAUAAAAUUCGAUUUCCCAUUCCUAUUCCGAAAUGUCGAUCCAUGCCCUCUACUGCCAUGGUCACCAGUGGAAUAUUCCAGUUGGUAUGGUUAUCAUUGUCGUGCUCCAUUCUGGAAGGAGAGACUUCUGUUCCGCAUUAUCCUACAAACUCCAUUUGUUUAUGGAUCAUGAGGAACCAGUGCUGAAUACAGAUAUGGCCGGACCUGAUGAGGGUUUCCAAGAUAUUCUGUUAUAAUAAUACAUGAACAACAUGAUGAUCUAUAUCCAGAGUGAGCUUGAAACCACAACUGGCCUAAAAUGAAG